UUCGUUGCAGUUUUUUACACUUCUCUUCUUCUUAAGAGAGGGCAUAUAAAAUCACCAACCUGAAUCAUAGACAACAACAAAGGAAGCGUUAAACCUCACAGUACCACGAAUCCACCAUGAAUCAAGCAGCAGUACAAAUCCACCACCAAUCACCAACACAAACCAUGAAAAGGAGAAGAGAACAAACCUUGACGAAAAUCAAAAAUUGGGAAAAAAAGGAAGAUGGAAAAUUAGAGAAAGAAGAAGAGGGAAAUAAGAGAGGGAGAGAAAAAGUAAGAGCGUGGAGGUGGGGGUGUGGUCUGAGGAUGAGUAAAUAAGAAGGUAAAAAAUUAGGAUUUUGAGACAAAGUUAAAAAAGAUAAAGAGUAAAAGUAGAAAAGGGUAUUUUUUUUAAUAAUUAAAAAAAUUAUAGAAGUGUAAGGCACACUUUUUUUUGACAACUUUUUUUAUAACGGGACACGUGUCAUCAUUUUAUUGGUCUAUUUGAAUUUAUGUUUAAAAAAUAUUUAAAAUAGACUAAUCACAAACUACCACAUAUACAUUGUCAAAAAAUUAUUAAAAAAAAUAUUGUUA
rnacentral:lncRNA from 1 species